rfam:Felis catus isolate Cinnamon breed Abyssinian chromosome D2, whole genome shotgun sequence.
GCCUGGGUGGCUCAGUUGGUUGGGCAUCUGACUUCGGCGCAGGUCAUGAUCUCCUGGUCUGUGGGUUCGAGCCCCACGUCGGGCU